rnacentral:lncRNA from 1 species
GGUGGGGUGUACCUAACUCAUGCAAUAGUGCAACGCACGAGCGACACAUGAGAAGCCUAAUAGCAAGCUAUUGAAGUGGCUUCUCCCCCUCAAAAAAGUAAUUUAAUAUCAUGUGACCCAUUGGAUCACAUAUCAGAUAUUAAACUGAUAAGAACAGAUACUACACUUGAUCUUAGCCAAAAGGCCGAGAAAGGUAUGAGUUGAAAGAAGAGUUGGCUUCUGCUUUUAUAUCAACUGUCACUUAGUUUCUUUCUUCAUUACCCGAUAUGGGACUUAUAUGCAGUACCACCCUCCAUUGAUAUCAAUUUCUCAACAAAUACUUUUCUACACUGCUGUUGAAAAUUAGUUGGUUAUAAUUCUAAUUAAGGGCUAUUGUAUAAAUUUUGAUGUUAUUAUCUUAAUCAUGGAUCAUCAUUAUUACUUUCUUCAAUCAACUCUUGGAUGAUACUCUUUAAUUUUGUAUCAUUAUCUAUCGAAAAAGCACAUUAUUUUCUUAACAAGAUUGAUGUUGUUUUUUAUUUUUAGAGAGAGUACAUUUUUUUUUUUUUAACAAGAUUGAUGUUGUUUUUCUUUUAAUUUUGGUUUCAAGUUCUAUGCAUAACAAUUAGAGAGAACAUUUUAGAGCUUUGUUACAGCAAAGUCACCUAAAGAAGUUUGAACAAUUGGUUUUAUUGGCAACAAUAUGGUACAUUUGAAAUAUUAGAAACAAUAUUAUAUUUCAAAGUUGGGUGGAUAAUGUGCGAAAAUUGGUGGAUCAAAUUAAAAAUAUUGUUUGGAUAUGGUUCAUGGGCAAAUUACAAGCAGCAUUUUGAUCAAACCGGUGCAACGCACGGGUUAUAUACCUAGUGAACAAUAGUUUUAAGAGAUGUGAAUUUAAACCUGUUAACCUUGCAGGAUUAUACUAAUAUAUAUAUAUAUGGGGUUUGCUACAAUAGACCCAUUCCAUUUUAUGAAGGUCUAUUUUAGCAAGCAACACCUUUUCAUUUGGACACAAAGACCCUUGUUUUUAUUUUUUGGACAAAUUAAAUCAGAAGGGCACAAAUGUUAUUUCCGUUUAAAGGUUAGAUUUUCUUUCUUUAUUCUUUUAUGAGAAACUCUUUAUGUCCCUCUCAUUCUCUUUCUUUCUUCCUUCUCUGUUCUCUUAUUUUCUUGUGUUUGCCACUCAUCACAUUCCAUGGAUUUACGUUGUGUUUCUACUGUGAAAUCAUAUGCAGCAAAUCUUGUAUUGAAGAAAAGGUAUACUCCUUUCUAUUGUGCCUCUUUUUAUCUAUGUCACAAUCAAUUGAAUCUCAAUCCAAUAAAACUAAAACUCACUUCCACUCAUGUUUUGAGCUAUUAGAGGAGGUGGAGGAGCAAGUUUUGGAAUCAAUUUGCCAAAACAUUGGAUCAAAAUGCAACAAAACUUGUUCACAAUUGGCAGCUGUAAUUGAUGCAAACAUAGCCAUUAAUUAUGUUAUCUUGCUAAGGGUAAAUUCAAGUAAAAAAUGCAAAUGAAAAGACAGUUGAUUUGAGAAAGACCAACAACUAGUCCUCCCUGCAAACUAAGAUGGGCAACGCAAACAAAUAGCACACAGAAAAAUAAAUAGCAUACCGACACCGUUCUCACCGAGAAAAAUCAACUGACUGUAUUAGAGUGCCAAUACCAAAAGAAAUAAAGAAAGAAUUGAGCUAUGCGCGUUUCUAAUAGGAGGCGGAGGUGAAUCAUGCCGCAGCGGCACCGGUUGAUGCUAUGACGCAUUUCUAGGAAGGUUAAAGAAAUUCGCAUUUUUGAGGUGUAAAGGAAGACAAUCGCGUUUCUGAUCGGAGGUAGAACUGAAACAUCCUAUGGUGGCGUCGGCCCCGGAAAUGAAACUCAAAGAGAAGGGAACGGAAGGAAGGAAGAAAGAGAACGAGAGGGACCUGAAGAGUUUCUGUGAAAAAAAUAAAUAAAAAAUCUAACAUUUAAACAAAAAGUACAUUUGUGCCCUUUAUAUUUAAUUUGCCCAAAAAAUAAAAGCAAGGGUUUUUGUGUCCAAGUGAAAAGGUGUUGCUUGCUAAAAUAGACCUUGAUAAAAUGGAGUGGGUCUAUUGUAGCAAACCCCUAUAUAUAUAUAUAUAUAUAUAUAUAUAUAUAGUUGGAUUUCAUAUACUUUGAAGACUACUUAUUAUAUUCAUAUAUAUGAUUUUGGGACUAAAUUUAAGAGGGAAUGACGGAUCAAGAAAUUUUUAUUUUUUAGGGGAGAUCAAGAAUUAAAAUUAUGGUUAAUUUCAUUGAUUAAUCACGUAGUGGAUCAUUAGGGAGGUUUAAGACCCUAAUGUUUUUAAUUAAUACAUAAUUUCAAUGUUCUUGCAUAAUCAUUUACCUAAUGAUAGUUUGUUUUGGGAUUUGGCUUUUGGGCUUCCCAUGCUUUUGUCAAAAAAACGUGAGCCAUGCAUUUAUGUUGAGCGGUUGAUUGAUAAAAGCAAUGCAUUUGGAGUAACAUCUAUGUUGAACGUUGAGUAUCAAGGAAAAGUUACACUAACGAUAGUAUUAAGGGUAGAAAGGGAAAAAGAGAGCUAGUUAUGCUCUGCCUUGGUUGACGCAUAUAAAGGAACAUAGGGAUAUUUACUUUUAUAUUAAAACUUUUUUUUUUUUUUUAUUCCUUAACCAGUGUCUCAGGAAUACCAGUUAACAUGACCUUAAAAUAUAUUUAGUUUUAAGAUUUUCUUGGACUUUACUCCUCUAAUAUUCAAAAUAUUAUGAAUAUCUCUCCCACAUAAAUUAAAGAUUAUUUUUAUACGCAUAAAAAUAUAAAGAAACCAACAUAACAUAAAUUUGGACUUAAUUGUCAAAAACAAAAAAUAAUAAUUGGACUUAGAAACUAAGACAUGAGGUUUAUUUUUUUUAUUUUUUUAUUUUUACGCAAGAUACUUCUAUCAUAACACAUAGAACAUACAUUUUGCCUUCAAAAAACAGAGUGUACAUUCUUACUAGCAUUUUAAUAAAAACUCUAUUUAUUUUGAAUUUUUAUAGAAACUAAUGUGGAAACUCAGAGUCCAAGAAAUUUUUUAGAAUAAAAAUAUAUUUAACUUUUAUUUUUUUGUCAAUUGAUUAUAUUUGGUUUUUAUCUCAACUUCAUAAUGAAUUUCUCAAGAAUCUUGGUGUAUAAUUUUUCUUAUGGCAAACAUGCCACAAUUCUCUCCCUAUUAGAAGUAUCUUGUGUCAUCGAAAAGUCCUUUUAACGCCUACUUACCCUUUCUACGGUGAAGAUGAAACUAUUUUUUAUUGUCUAAUGUUACGUUCAUGCUCGGUUGAAAUUUGGACUAAUUGUGGGUUUAGUGAUGUUCUAUCAAUUUGUCACAAGGUUGUUCUAGACAAUACUUCAAAGAUCCUAGCGACAUUAGUGGAUGAAGUGGGUAUCUUAGCUCCAUUGAUAAUGUGGAAUAUUUGGAUCUCUCACAACAAAUUUAUUUUUAAGGGAACAACUCCUAUGAAGUACUAGAUCAUAACAUCUAUCUUUACUCAGCUACAAGUUUCCAAGCAGGCAUUGGGAAGUCCAACCUCCCACUCCCAUCGAACAACUCGUGAGGUGUGUUGGAAUAAAGGGGAUGAGGAUGCCAUGAUUCUCAAUGUAGAUGGAAGUGCUUAUACUAAUCCAAGGAAUGGAGGGUUUAGCGGCUUGGUGCUUAACCAUGAUGGAACCUUUCAAUUUCGUUUCUAUGGGAGUGUAGGUUUGUCCAAUAUUCUUCAUGCGGAAAAACAAGCGCUUUUAGUGGGCAUCAGACUGUGUUGGCAAGCUGGAUUUAAAAAAAGUAAUGUGUUUCUCAUAUUCCUUGCAUGUGGUUCAACUUGUCAUAGAGGAAACAUCUCAGAUUCAUCAUUAUGCUAAUGAGCUAGAGAUUAUAAGAGAUUUCAUGAAAAAAGAUUGAACAAUAGCUCUGCAUCACGCCUUUCACGAGAGAAUGCUUACGCAGAUGUGCUAGCAAAGUUAAAAGCUAUUAAAGUAGAUCCUCUUUUCCUUUUCUCGUGUAAAAAAAAGCCCAAAUAGUAUUUUUAUUAAAAAGGUCUCAACAUAAAUAAAACGAGAAGAAAGAAAAUGCAUAACUUUUACGAAGAUAAAAACAUUAUACAUCAACAUGAAUUUUAAGGAUCUUCGUAAAUCAAAGCAUCUAAAUAUAGUCAACUGACCAUCUAAACAUAGAGCCAGGGAAAAAUUAAAAAUAUAGCUAUCUUCAACAUAAUUAAAAAUACAAAAAUUAAACUAAAAUUGGUGGGGUGUACCUAACUCAUGCAAUAGUGCAACGCACAAGCGACACAUGAGAAGCCUAAUAGCAAGCUAUUGAAGUGGCUUCUCCCCUCAAAAAAGUAAUUUAAUAUCGUGUGACCCAUUGGGUCACAUAUCAGAUAUUAAACUGAUAAGAACAGAUACUACACUUGAUCUUAGCCAAAAGGCCGAGAAAGGUAU